rnacentral:lncRNA from 1 species
GUAACACUGAUUGAACAAGAGAUUAGCACAAUAGAUCUCUAACCGAGGGGAAGCUUGCUUUUCACGCUACGCGCCGUAAUUAAUGGUAUGAAUCAAUUAAUUUGACUUUUAUUGUGUCGAAGGAAAAAAGCGCAACAAAUGGAACUGGCGGCUGGGAGUUGUUCACCACCACCCCCCCUUUCCCCCAGGGAGGCUACUUCAAGAAGACCGCGCAGGACUGCCCCCCGGGGCCGCCACCCUCCCGCGCGCGCACACGUGCACGCGUCCACGCAGGCCCGGCCUCCUAGGCCGCGGUGGGCCUCGUGCUGCGGCCCGCGCCUGCCUCCGGGCUGAACAACCGAAGCUGAGCAAAGGAAAUUCAGAAUUUGUCAAUUUCGGUUGGUUUGUUUUGUCCUUCCGACCUUCCUUUUGUAUAAUUACUGGAUUCCUCGCACAGUUGCAGCCGCGGCCUCGGCAGCCGGGGGGCGAUGGGCAGCCAGCUCGCCGCUCCAGUCGGUUUCGCGGGAGGCUGUGUAGACGGCGAUGGGAGCGGUUCGGAGCCCGCGGGCCACAAAGCGGUGCAGCUGCGGGAAUCAACCCAGAUGCAUUUAGGGUCAGGUGCAACCGGGGGAUCAUUCAGAUACAGAAAAUCCUUGGAGUUUCGCCGGCAUCUCAGGAUGGAGUAACUGCCCCCACCCUCCCCCCUUCCUCAACCAGGAACCUCUUGCGAAGUGGGGAUCCAUCCAAUGGGCUAGUGUUAUAUCCUGGAAAUUAUCUAAUGGAGAUGAAAGUCAAUCCGUGGGUCUCACUGCCUAUAAGGAAGUAAGUUUUCGGGUUUUAUUUUUUUUGGUGUGUGUAGGCCAAGGAAAGAGGGUGUCGUAGGUGAGAGAGACACAGACUGAGGGAACCAGAGGCACCACUGUCCACGAGCAUUUACACCAGUUUCCUAGUGUCGUCUUGCGUACCCCACUAUUUUCUCUCGGACCGCCCCCGUUGUGCUCCGUCCUCUGGUGAGGCCGCGCGAAAAAUACACAGAUAUAAAAACCCGCCCCAUCGAGCCGGGAAAGCCGAGGCAGGACCGGGGGCUGGGUCUCGGGGUUGGGGGGGGGGGGAGAGGAGCGGCGCCCUCAGUGGGGUCUCCGCCGAGGAAGCACGGAGGCAGGAGGGGGUCUGAAGUCUAACCAGCGAGACGGAGCCGGGCGCGCAGCCCGGACUCUCUAGAGCUACAAAGAAUCAAAAGCAACAGAACAGAGACUACUAAGUUUUUCUUUUUUAAAAAAUGGGAUGGGAGUCUCGUCCCACGUCGCCCAGUCCCUGUCUAAGGAGUGCUGGCAGGGGGCGGGGGCGGGGGGACGGGGAGGGCCGCGGGGUCCGGCCGGCGCUCCGGGGCCC